UUUCUAUUGUAAAAACUUGUUCGUAAAAAGUUAAACUUUAAUAAUAUGUACGUGUGUAUUCGUAGAGAUCAAAGAUGUACUAUCUUAAGAAUUCAUAAAUUCUUGUUAUGUAAUAAGAAUCUAAAUGUAAAGUUUCGCGAAAGAGCGGAUUACGGAAUUAAUGAUGGAUCGAAGGUGUACGAUCUGAAAGAUUCAUAAGUUCUUUUAAUAUAAUUUGAGUCUGAGAAACUUUUUAAAAAGCUAGAGCAUUGCAAAAGUAAUAAUUCAUCGAAGGAUUUAUAAAUCUUUGGAUUUAACUUGAGUUUAAACAGCACUGGAAGAGAGGAUUGUCGAAGUAACGAUGACUUCAAAGUACACCGUUUUAAAGAUGCAUAAAUCCUUAUAAGAGGACUCGAAGCUAGGAAAUUUUUCACGAAAGCAGGAUUAUAAAAAUAACAAUGGAUUAAAAGAUUUAUAAAUCUUCUAAAUUUAAUUCCAAUCUAUACAAAUGUAUACAGGUGAAAGGUGAAAAGGUGAAAAGGUUAAAAGGAAUUAGAGAAUUAAUGAUGGAUCGAAAGUAUGUUAUGUUAAGAAAGUUAAGUUAUACCGUGGAUACCAUGGAAACCAAGGCAACCAUGAAUACCAAGGCAAGUCAAAUACCUUGGACUUUACAUAGAUACACACUUCACAUGGGGAGCACGAGGCGGGUAUGGGUUCUCAGUGCGUAGCAUCAUGCCCUGAGAAACCCCGAUGUAUCUGAUGUUCACCUAUAGUCGGGUGGCGGCUGGUCGGCGCUGUGGCGCCCGUCAGAUCGCUGAUCCGGUGCGGAGAACUUCGGAGAAGUUGGUGGGCCCAUAUCUGUCAAGACCACUCACCUCACCUUCACGUGGGGCUCCCCGUCACCCUGCAUCGGUCCCGACCGGGGUAGGGUGCGAAAGAGUGAGUGGCACCAAGACGAGAAGACGAUAAAACAAACCCUUGAUGAUGAAGAUAAUGAUGAUAUGUCGGAAAAUAUAAAUAAUGAGGUUUACGGUGCAGGGGAGGGAUACCCCAGUACCGGCGCAGACGUGGGUGGACAAGCGGGCUCCGCUGUGUCGUUAGCUUGUGACCGUGGCCGGAUGGGGGUGGACCACCAGGCCCCCAUUCAUGUUAUCACGACUAGUGAGGAGGAAGAAGGAGACAUUGAAAUGGAAGAGGCUCCGAUAGAAAUACAGCGAGGUGCCGGGUAUUCAACCGCCUUGCUUGGAACGUAUAUAUAAUCAACAAAUAAAGGACGCGAAAUACAGCACACUCUUCUCUUAAUACUGAACAUUUUACUAAUGAAUUAUAAAUAGCCUAUAUGCAAGUAUUAUUUACAUAUUUAAUUCGCUACAAACUGCAUACAAUUAUAUGUAAUCACAUAUAAUUAUAUAUAAUCACAUAUAAAAUAAAUACAAUUGUUUGAUGAGAUAAGCUACAAAUACCACUUCCCAGUGACAAUUAAUCUAGAACUUAUAUUUGUCACCAAAAAUUAUGAACAUUAUAAUGUAAUGUGCGCUUUCCCUUUAAUUAAAAUUAUAAUACUAUAAUAACAGAUAGACUGCACUGUUGCUCGUUGCAAAAUGAACAUCUUAAAAUAUCAACCCUGUUUCUACAUACAACUCAUUAAUAUCUAUGUACAACUAUUAUGAUAUACUUUAUACAUUUCUCAAGUAUGAAUUACCACUACGUUCACGAGUGCUUAGAGGAAAACAAGAUAAAUAUAAUU